UAUUCUGGAUAACCCCGUUGUUCGAGACGGCAGCGAGAAAGAUCGUGCUCGCCUCACAGCCCCUUGGCCCCUCACUGUGUACGACUCGAAAGUGAAGGGGGCAGGAAAAGGCGUGUGGACCAAUGCUCAUCUCCCAGCCCAUCUUGUGUUUGGUCCGUAUGAGGGCCGUGUCCUAUCUGGCCAUCCGGAUGCCGGCAAAGAAUCUGGCUAUGGGUGGAAGAUUCGAGGUGCUGGAACAAGGAAUACAUGCAUUGAUGCUGUAGACAGUGCAAUUAGUAACUGGAUGCGUUACGUCAACUGUUCAAGGACUGAG